GCAGGUUGAGGAUAGAACGGGCAGCUAUCACCCCUGCCAAGAGUUGAUCGUACUGUAGAGUUCUAUGAGAACUACAGUCCAGGGCUUGGAAAGAGAUGCGGGGGUGCCGACCCGCCAACCUGC
rnacentral:ncRNA from 1 species